UACAGAGGGUGCAAACGUUGUUCGGAAUUACUGGGCGUAAAGCGUGUGUAGGCGGCCAUGUAAGUCGGAUGUGAAAGCCCCGGGCUCAACCCGGGAAGUGCAUUCGAUACUGCGUGGCUUGAGUAUCGGAGAGGUUGGUGGAAUUCUUGGUGUAGAGGUGAAAUUCGUAGAUAUCAAGAGGAACACCGGUGGCGAAGGCGGCCAACUGGACGAAUACUGACGCUGAGACACGAAAGCGUGGGGAGCAAACAGG
rnacentral:rRNA from 1 species